CCUACGGGAGGCUGCAGUGGGGGAUAUUGCACAAUGGGGGGAACCCUGAUGCAGCGACGCCGCGUGGGUGAAGAAGCGCCUCGGCGCGUAAAGCUCUGUCAGCAGGGAAGAAAAUGACGGUACCUGAAGAAGAAGCCCCGGCUAACUACGUGCCAGCAGCCGCGGUAAUACGUAGGGGGCAAGCGUUAUCCGGAUUUACUGGGUGUAUAGGGGGCGCAGACGCCGAUGCAAGCCAGGAGUGAAAGCCCGGGGCCCAACCCCGGGACUGCUCUUGGAACUGCGUGGCUGGAGUGCAGGAAGGGCAGGCAGAAUUCCUGGUGUCGCGGUGAAAUGCGUAGAUAUCAGGAGGAACCCCGGCGGCGAAGGCGGCCUGCUGGACCGCGACUGACGUUGAGGCUCGAAAGCGUGGGGAGCGAACAGGAUUAGAUACCCUGGUAGUC
rnacentral:rRNA from 1 species